rnacentral:rRNA from 1 species
CCUACGGGAGGCAGCAGUGAGGAAUAUUGGUCAAUGGGCGCGAGCCUGAACCAGCCAAGUCGCGUGAGGGAAGACGGUCCUAUGGAUUGUAAACCUCUUUUGUCGGGGAGCAAAAGACGCCACGCGUGGCGUUCCGAGAGUACCCGAAGAAAAAGCAUCGGCUAACUCCGUGCCAGCAGCCGCGGUAAUACGGAGGAUGCGAGCGUUAUCCGGAUUUAUUGGGUUUAAAGGGUGCGCAGGCGGAAGAUCAAGUCAGCGGGAAAAUUGAGAGGCUCAACCUCUUCGAGCCGUUGAAACUGGUUUUCUUGAGUGAGCGAGAAGUAUGCGGAAUGCGUGGUGUAGCGGUGAAAUGCAUAGAUAUCACGCAGAACUCCGAGUGCGAAGGCAGCAUACCGGCGCUCAACUGACGCUCAUGCACGAAAGUGUGGGUAUCGAACAGGAUUAGAUACCCGUGUAGUC